AGAGUUUGAUCCUGGCUCAGAUUGAACGCUGGCGGCAUGCCUAACACAUGCAAGUCGAACGGUAGCAGGCCUUCGGGUGCUGACGAGUGGCGGACGGGUGAGUAAUGCGUAGGAAUCUGUCUUUUAGUGGGGGACAACCCAGGGAAACUUGGGCUAAUACCGCAUGAGCCCUGAGGGGGAAAGCGGGGGAUCUUCGGACCUCGCGCUAAGGGAAGAGCCUACGUCUGAUUAGCUAGUUGGUAGGGUAAAGGCCUACCAAGGCGACGAUCAGUAGCUGGUCUGAGAGGACGACCAGCCACACUGGGACUGAGACACGGCCCAGACUCCUACGGGAGGCAGCAGUGGGGAAUUUUUCGCAAUGGGGGCAACCCUGACGAAGCAAUGCCGCGUGGAUGAAGAAGGCCUUCGGGUUGUAAAGUCCUUUCGUGGGGGACGAAAAGGUGGUUCCUAAUACGAGCUGCUGUUGACGUGAACCCAAGAAGAAGCACCGGCUAACUCCGUGCCAGC
rnacentral:rRNA from 1 species